CCUACGGGUGGCAGCAGUGAGGAAUAUUGGUCAAUGGGCGCGAGCCUGACCCAGCCAAGUAGCGUGAAGGAUGACUGCCCUACGGGCUGUAAACUUUUUUUUUAAAGGAAUACAGUGAUGCACGUGUACCUUUUUGUAUGUACUUUAUGAAUAAGGAUCGGCUAACUCAGUGCCAGCAGCCGCGGUAAUACGGAGGGUCCGAUCGUUAUCCGGAUUUAUUGUGUUUAAAGGGAGCGUAGAUGGGUUGUUAAGUCAGUUUGGAAAGUUUGCGGCUUAAACGUGAGAUUGCAAUGGAUACUGGCAGCCUUGAGUACAGUUGAGGUAGGCGGAAUUCGUGGUGUAGCGGUGAAAUGCUUAGAUAUAACGAAGAACUCCGAUGGCGAAGGCAGCUCACUAACCUGCAACUGACAUUGAUGCUCGAAAGUGUGGGUAUCAAACAGGAUUAGAUACCCCGGUAGUC
rnacentral:rRNA from 1 species